rnacentral:tRNA from 1 species
CAGAAAGUAGUUUAAUAAAAAUACCAGCUUUGGGAGUUGGGGAUAAAGGUUUAAUUCCUUUUUUUCUGA